rnacentral:rRNA from 1 species
UACGUAGGGGGCUAGCGUUGUCCGGAAUCAUUGGGCGUAAAGCGCGCGUAGGCGGCCCGGUAAGUCCGCUGUAAAAGUCCAGGGCUCAACCCUGGAACGCCGGUGGAUACUGUCGGGCUAGAGUCCGGAAGAGGCGAGUGGAAUUCCUGGUGUAGCGGUGAAAUGCGCAGAUAUCAGGAGGAACACCGGUGGCGAAAGGCGGGUCUCUGGGCCGAUGACUGACGUGAGGAGCGAAAGCGUGGGGAGCGAACAGG